AUGGCCUGUAUACCCUAUUUUGUGCAACCAGUUUAUGGAGCGUUCACCCUAUAUGGACUGUCAAAAGCGAGGUUCACUUUUUGACAAGCUUGCCACCAGUCUGACAACCACAGACCAACAUAAAAAAAAAAUCGCGAUCGACAAAAAAUGAGAAUGGCAAAAUAAAAUGGACUCUAAGGAGCUUCUUAUCCCAGUAGUUCCAUGGCAAGCACGAGGGACAGUUUCAUGGGCAGCAAUUCGACCGUGUCGUCAGCACCAACAGCAGCAGCACAACGGCAAGCAACAAUACCUGCAAGUGACCUACGCUUAGGCAAAUGUAAUUGGAAAGCGCAUCCGCAUAAAGCUGUGCAGUCCGCGGCCUUGCUCGAUAUACAUACAUAUCCAAGUUCGGCCUCUAACGUCCCAGAAUCAACUCCAAGACGAUGGCACAAGACAACAAUCAAAAGUACAACCCGGCUUUCCAGAAGCUGGCGACAUUUCUCGCCAUUGUCGUCGUUAUCUUCUCCAGUUUUACCUAAAUCCAGUCCGAAACGACCGCCGGUCUCAACGCAGGUUCACGGAUGGUUGAAGGUCGACUAGUGCAAAAAUCUGUUUCGGGACGGCAGAAAUCGACGACUAAUUCGUGGUAAUAAACGACUACCGCUACUUACUUAAAGAACAGUUCUAUUAUACAAAAUCGAUGCCAACAUUACAAAAAGCAUCAUGUACAAACCAUCCUUUUUGAGAAAAACGCAUUUGAAUGUUAAGCAUCAUUUUUCAAUUCCCAUUUUGAUAUAAAAGCAAAAGAAGAUGUUUUAAUGAUAACAAACGAUGAAAAACGUGGCUUUUAUUGAUAUUUGAUCAUCCAUAUUCAAUAAAACAUUAUUUCCUCAAA